UGCCAGCAGCCGCGGUAAUACGGAGACUGCGAGCGUUACUCGGAUUCACUGGGCGUAAAGGGUGCGCAGGCGGAUAGAUGUGUCAGGUGUGAAAUCUCGGGGCUCAACCUCGAAACUGCGCCUGAAACUGUCUAUCUAGAGUAUUGGAGAGGUAAGCGGAAUUUCCGGAGUAGCGGUGAAAUGCGUAGAUAUCGGAAGGAACACCAAUGGCGAAGGCAGCUUACUGGACAAUUACUGACGCUCAGGCACGAAAGCAUGGGUAGCGAAAGGGAUUAGAUU
rnacentral:rRNA from 1 species